CUCUGAAAAGGGCAACGCUAUCGCGAGAUAGUUGCGCAAAGCCACGGGUCUCUCGCAGAUAGCCGGGUUACCGGA
rnacentral:ncRNA from 1 species